ACAGCUCAAAUUUGAAAUCUGGCCCCCAGGCCCGAGUUGUAAUUUGUAGAGGAUACUUUUGGUGAGGUACCUUCCGAGUUCCCUGGAACGGGACGCCAUAGAGGGUGAGAGCCCCGUCUGGUUGGAUACCGAUCCUCUGUAAAGCUCCUUCGACGAGUCGAGUAGUUUGGGAAUGCUGCUCUAAAUGGGAGGUAUAUGUCUUCUAAAGCUAAAUAUUGGCCAGAGACCGAUA
rnacentral:rRNA from 1 species